GAUGAACGCUAGCUACAGGCUUAACACAUGCAAGUCGAGGGGAAACGAUAUUGGAAGCUUGCUUCCGAUAGGCGUCGACCGGCGCACGGGUGAGUAACGCGUAUCCAACCUGCCCACCACUUGGGGAUAACCUUGCGAAAGUAAGACUAAUACCCAAUGACGUCCAUAGAAGACAUCUGAAAUGGAUUAAAGAUUUAUCGGUGAUGGAUGGGGAUGCGGCUGAUUAGCUUGUUGGCGGGGUAACGGCCCACCAACGCGACGAUCAGUAGGGGUACUGAGAGGAAGGUCCCCCACAGUGGAAUUGGGGCACGGUCCAAACUCCUACGGGAGGCAGCAGUGAGGAAUAUUGGGCAAUGGGUGAGAGCCUGAAACAGCCAAGUAGCGAGCAGGAUGACGGCCCUAUGGGUUGUAAACUGCUUUUAUAAGGGAAUAAAGUGAGCCUCGUGAGGCUUUUUGCAUGUACCUUAUGAAUAAGGACCGGCUAAUUCCGUGCCAGCCGCCGCAGUAA
rnacentral:rRNA from 1 species